rnacentral:ncRNA from 2 species
UUCUUAUCUAGAGAGGUAGAGGGACUGGCCCUUUGAAGCCUCGGCAACGGACUUUUAUAAGAACUGUGCCAAUUCCAGUAGCAUAACGCUAGAUGAUAAGAU